CCUACGGGGCGCAGCAGUGGGGAAUAUUGGACAAUGGGCGAAAGCCUGAUCCAGCCAUGCCGCGUGUGUGAAGAAGGCCUUCGGGUUGUAAAGCACUUUCAGUGGGGAAGAAAGCCUUGGGGCUAAUACCCUCGAGGAAGGACAUCACCCACAGAAGAAGCACCGGCUAACUCCGUGCCAGCAGCCGCGGUAAUACGGAGGGUGCGAGCGUUAAUCGGAAUUACUGGGCGUAAAGCGCGCGUAGGCGGUCUGAUAAGCCGGUUGUGAAAGCCCCGGGCUCAACCUGGGAACGGCAUCCGGAACUGUCAGGCUAGAGGGCAGGAGAGGAAGGUAGAAUUCCCGGUGUAGCGGUGAAAUGCGUAGAGAUCGGGAGGAAUACCAGUGGCGAAGGCGGCCUUCUGGACUGACACUGACGCUGAGGUGCGAAAGCGUGGGUAGCAAACAGGAUUAGAUACCCUUGUAGUC
rnacentral:rRNA from 1 species